AUGCCGUGGAUGGGCGGCUCGCCGCCGUGGCGUGCGUGGUGGAGGAGCUCUGGUUGUCCGCAGAAGGACUCGAGACUUCGAGAGUCGAGAGUCAGAGACUCGAGAAGCUCCUGCAUGCGCCACCGGGGACCGUCGCGGUGUCGGCGGCGACCGCAGACAUGGCGUGGAGAGGAGAGUCUAGAGACGAUGGCGCAUGCAGGAGAACCGAGGUCGUGUCUGUCCGGGAUGCAGAACUCCGGCCGCGACCUCACCCAGCACGCAUGCAUCUCGAGCUCGCAGCCGUCACGUCGACCUUGCGCCUAUCUUCGGCACCCCGCCGUUUCCGGCCCGUGA
rnacentral:rRNA from 1 species